rnacentral:tRNA from 1 species
GAGGGUAUAGCUCAGGUGCUAGAGUGCAUGCUUAGCAUGCACAAGGCCCUGGGUUCAAUCCCCAGUACCUCCA